AUUGAACGCUGGCGGAAUGCUUUACACAUGCAAGUCGAGCGGCAGCACGGGGGCAACCCUGGUGGCGAGCGGCGAACGGGUGAGUAACACAUCGGAACAUGCCCAGUCGUGGGGGAUAACACUUCGAAAGAAGUGCUAAUACCGCAUACGUCCUGAGGGAGAAAGCGGGGGAUCGCAAGACCUCGCGCGAUUGGAGUGGCCGAUGUCAGAUUAGCUAGUUGGUGGGGUAAAGGCCUACCAAGGCAACGAUCUGUAGCUGGUCUGAGAGGAUGAUCAGCCACACUGGGACUGAGACACGGCCCAGACUCCUACGGGAGGCAGCAGUGGGGAAUUUUGGACAAUGGGGGCAACCCUGAUCCAGCCAUUCCGCGUGAGUGAAGAAGGCCUUCGGGUUGUAAAGCUCUUUCGGCAGGAACGAAACGGUGAGCUCUAACAUAGCUUGCUAAUGACGGUACCUGAAGAAGAAGCACCGGCUAACUACGUG
rnacentral:rRNA from 1 species